rnacentral:rRNA from 1 species
AUUGAACGCUGGCGGCGUGCCUAACACAUGCAAGUCGAGCGGUAACAGGUGUAGCAAUACAUGCUGACGAGCGGCGGACGGGUGAGUAACGCUUGGGAAUCUGCCUGUUAGUGGGGGACAACCCGGGGAAACUCGGGCUAAUACCGCAUACGCACUACGGUGGAAAGCCGGGGACCGCAAGGCCUGGCGCUAACAGAUGAGCCCAAGUCGGAUUAGCUAGUUGGUAGGGAACGGCCUACCAAGGCGACGAUCCGUAACUGGUCUGAGAGGACGACCAGUCACACCGGAACUGAGACACGGUCCGGACUCCUACGGGAGGCAGCAGUGGGGAAUAUUGGACAAUGGGCGAAAGCCUGAUCCAGCGACGCCGCGUGGGUGAAGAAGGCCUGCGGGUUGUAAAGCCCUUUCGGUGGGGAAGAAAAGCCUCGAGUUAAUACCUCGGGGUCUUGACGUAACCCAUAGAAGAAGCACCGGCUAACUCUGUGCCAGCCGCCGCAGUAAC